rnacentral:rRNA from 1 species
GCAGUCGAACGGUGACGGCCGAGCUUGCUUGGUCUGAUCAGUGGCGAACGGGUGAGUAACACGUGAGUAACCUGCCCCAGACUCUGGGAUAACCCCGGGAAACCGGAGCUAAUACCGGAUAUGACACCAAUCCGCAUGGGUAUGGUGUGGAAAGUUUUUCGGUCUGGGAUGGACUCGCGGCCUAUCAGCUUGUUGGUGAGGUAGUGGCUCACCAAGGCGACGACGGGUAGCCGGCCUGAGAGGGCGACCGGCCACACUGGGACUGAGACACGGCCCAGACUCCUACGGGAGGCAGCAGUGGGGAAUAUUGCACAAUGGGCGAAAGCCUGAUGCAGCGACGCCGCGUGAGGGAUGACGGCCUUCGGGUUGUAAACCUCUUUCAGCAGGGAAGAAGCGCAAGUGACGGUACCUGCAGAAGAAGCACCGGCUAACUACGUGCCAGCAGCCGCGGUAAUACGUAGGGUGCGAGCGUUGUCCGGAAUUAUUGGGCGUAAAGAGCUUGUAGGUGGUUUGUCGCGUCUGCUGUGAAAAUCCGGGGCUCAACCUCGGACUUGCAGUGGGUACGGGCAGACUAGAGUGUGGUAGGGGAGACUGGAAUUCCUGGUGUAG